AAGGGACCUUGAACAUAAGCUCUGUGGAGCCAUGAGUCUACGGGAUAACUGAGAGAUGGAAUUCACAAACAGUUCCUAGAGUCAAGGCAAAACAUCCUGGUUGGAUGCUUGGUUGAAUCAUUGUCUCAGACACCACUUUGGGCUCAUCUAUGCCUGACAUGUUGUAAGAACUCUCUGUACUUCGACCUGAGGUUGCUGGACCUCCUUGGGGACUUCUACUGACUCUGUGAAACACAUCUGAAAAGGCUGUAGAAGUCAAGAGAGAACAGCAUGCCCCUGCCUUCUUCUCUUCUCUCAAACACAGGUCCUUCAGAGCUCUAACGGGAGAGUCCUCCUCUCAAAUGCACCCGAUGUUCUCAGUAUGGAAACCCCAAGUUCCUCCCAAGAAGUUACAGUUUGGGGGGAGAGGGAUGGGAUCAACAUGGAAUGUUUUUCUCAAUGUAAACUCAAGACAUUUGACAUGCUGAGUCUAUAGACCCAUGAUAAAACAGAGACGGUUACUCUCCAUCCACAAAUAUCUGGGGCCUCUGCCAAGCCAAAGAAGCAGCCAUGUCCAGACCUUUAUUCAGCCUACACCCCUCACCAUGCUAAGAGCCAAAGCCACCCAACCAGUGAGGCAAAAGCAGAAUGACAACUUAGCUCUACCACCAACCUUCCCAGAAACCUUUGCAUACCGCCAGUGCUGUCCAGAU
rnacentral:lncRNA from 1 species